rnacentral:other from 1 species
UUGGAGCUGCUGAGUGCGUUAGGUUAUGGUUACUCCCAGGGGCGAUAUUUCGAUACCGGGAGCUGCCUCUCUUACAGUUUUGGCUGUUUGACGCGGUGCCCACCUAUACCCUUUGGCCCACGGCGAGGUCAUGAAGGCCGACGGCUUUUGCGGCUCCAAC